ACGAACGCUGGCGGCGUGCUUAACACAUGCAAGUCGAACGGAAAGGCCCUGCUUUUGUGGGGUGCUCGAGUGGCGAACGGGUGAGUAACACGUGAGUAACCUGCCCUUGACUUUGGGAUAACUUCAGGAAACUGGGGCUAAUACCGGAUAGGAGCUCCUGCUGCAUGGUGGGGGUUGGAAAGUUUCGGCGGUUGGGGAUGGACUCGCGGUUUAUCAGCUUGUUGGUGGGGUAGUGGCUUACCAAGGCUUUGACGGGUAGCCGGCCUGAGAGGGUGACCGGCCACAUUGGGACUGAGAUACGGCCCAGACUCCUACGGGAGGCAGCAGUGGGGAAUAUUGCACAAUGGGCGGAAGCCUGAUGCAGCAACGCCGCGUGCGGGAUGACGGCCUUCGGGUUGUAAACCGCUUUCGCCUGUGACGAAGCGUGAGUGACGGUAAUGGGUAAAGAAGCACCGGCUAACUACGUG
rnacentral:rRNA from 1 species